rnacentral:rRNA from 1 species
AGUGGCGGACGGGUGAGUAACGCGUAAGAAUCUAACUUCAGGACGGGGACAACAGUGGGAAACGACUGCUAAUACCCGAUGUGCCGCAAGGUGAAACCUAAUUGGCCUGGAGAAGAGCUUGCGUCUGAUUAGCUAGUUGGUGGGGUAAAGGCCUACCAAGGCGACGAUCAGUAGCUGGUCUGAGAGGAUGAGCAGCCACACUGGGACUGAGACACGGCCCAGACUCCUACGGGAGGCAGCAGUGGGGAAUUUUCCGCAAUGGGCGAAAGCCUGACGGAGCAACGCCGCGUGAGGGAGGAAGGUCUUUGGAUUGUAAACCUCUUUUCUCAAGGAAGAAGUUCUGACGGUACUUGAGGAAUCAGCCUCGGCUAACUCCGUGCCAGCAGCCGCGGUAAUACGGGGGAGGCAAGCGUUAUCCGGAAUUAUUGGGCGUAAAGCGUCCGCAGGUGGUCAGCCGAGUCUGCCGUCAAAUCAGGUUGCUUAACGACCUAAAGGCGGUGGAAACUGGCAGACUAGAGAGCAGUAGGGGUAGCAGGAAUUCCCAGUGUAGCGGUGAAAUGCGUAGAGAUUGGGAAGAACAUCGGUGGCGAAAGCGUGCUACUGGGCUGUAUCUGACACUCAGGGACGAAAGCUAGGGGAGCGAAAGGGAUUAGAUACCCCUGUAGUCCUAGCCGUAAACGAUGAAUACUAGGCGUGGCUU